CUUUAGGAGGAGGGGAGCUGUUCUGAGAUCAUACUGCUGGUGUCCUUUAGGAGGAGGGGAGCUGUUCUGAGAUCAUACUGCUGGUGUCCUUUAGGAGGGGAGCUGUUCUGAGGUCAUACUGCUGGUGUCCUUUAGGAGGAGGGGAGCUGUUCUGAGAUCAUACUGCUGGUGUCCUUUAGGAGGAGGGGAGCUGUUCUGAGAUCAUACUGCUGGUGUCCUUUAGGAGGGGAGCUGUUCUGAGAUCAUACUGCUGGUGUCCUUUAGGAGGAGGGGAGCUGUUCUGAGAUCAUACUGCUGGUGUCCUUUAGGAGGAGGGGAGCUGGUCUGAGAUCAUACUGCUGGUGUCCUUUAGGAGGAGGGGAGCUGUUCUGAGAUCAUACUGCUGGUGUCCUUUAGGAGGAGGGGAGCUGUUCUGAGAUCAUACUGCUGGU
rnacentral:lncRNA from 1 species